rnacentral:rRNA from 1 species
CCCUUAGAUGUUCUGGGCCGCACGCGCGCUACACUGUUCGACGCAGCGAGUCUUAACCUUGACCGAAAGGUUUGGGUAAUCUUCAGCAAAGUCGAACGUGAUGGGGAUCGAUCAUUGCAACUAUUGAUCGUGAACGAGGAAUUCCUAGUAAGUGCAAGUCAUCAGCUUGCGCUGAUUACGUCCCUGCCCUUUGUACACACCGCCCGUCGCUACUACCGAUUGAAUGGUUUAGUGAGAUCUCUGGAUUGACGCUGGCUAGGGGGCGACCCUUGGCCAGACUGUUGAGAAACUGCUCAAACUUGAUCAUUUAGAGGAAGUAAAAGUCGUAACA